AACGAACGCUGGCGGCGUGGAUUAGGCAUGCAAGUCGUGCGCGAAAGUGGUAGCAAUACUGCGAGUAGAGCGGCGAACUGGUGAGUACAAGGUGACUAACGCGCCCCUGAGCGGGGGAUAACCCGCCGAAAGGCGGGCUAAUACCGCAUGACUUCUCCGGGAACUCAAGUUCCGGCGAAUAAAGCAGUAAUGCGCUCGGGGAACGGGUCACCCC
rnacentral:rRNA from 1 species